rnacentral:tRNA from 1 species
GGGGCCGUGGUCUAGCGGUCAUGACGCCGCCCUUACGCGGCGGAGGUCGCCGGUUCGAGUCCGGCCGGCCCCA